AACCUCUAGACAGCAGCUUCCCAGUUUUGAUCAUAGCUUUGGCAAUCUGCAAGAAUUGAUACGUAAUACCCAUGAUGGCACCGAGGAUUAAGGUUAAUCAAUAUAAUUUCUACUAGGUAAUUAAGCUGAACAUACAGGUCAUGACUCAGAUGCAUGAUAGUCAGAGAAACUAUAACCUAUGUCAUCACCAUAAAGUAUGGAACCAUUAGCUGUAGCACAGUUCAAACUGCCACAAAUAGUUUGCAUAAAUGAUGAUUAAACAGUUUUGUUCAAACGACUCUCUCUUCUUUGAAUUCACCAUGCAUAGAUAGUGACUCAAGCGGGGCUUUUGAGUGUACUUUUAGGCAUUUCCGUGGUCUGCUCUCUGAACCUUUUUGCUAGGUAUCUGAGCUGGAAGAUAACCACCCAACUCCUCAACUCUCACCUGGCGAUUUCACCCAAAAUCAACUUGCCAAGUUAACCCUAUGGUUGGCGCUUAUAGCCAUCAACUGCUGAAACCGCCACACCCAUGAUUCUCCUCUCCUAGUCUUCUACUCUUCUCCACAAACCUAUCAGCCACCAAGUUAUUUCUGAGCCUUCUGCACAGGGGAAAGCCAAAAACUUUAAAACAGGAAAAGUUUCAAGCAUAUAGUCAUUAGCUUCACCAGAUGUGCAACUCUUUUAAGCAAGUCCUGACUCCUAACCAUCAUACUCUGCAAAUAAUUUUCCAAGGCCACCAAGCUCUUUCAAAGCCACGUCAGUUAUUAUCCAGAAAUACAUCAAUAUGAUUUAUUCAUGCCAUCCUUGUCUAGGGCUGGACAAACCUUAUCUGUAAUGCUCCAUUUAAAAUUAUGAUGUCUUCAACGAACUAAUGGAUCCAUAUCACUAUCACCAAACAAUACUGCAGUAAUGAUGGAAGCAUAAUAGCACUAAUAGAUACGUAAAUAAAAGGUCUAUAUUCGUUUGUCUUCUUGUGCUGCUAAGCAGCGGCUAUACUUUAGUGGUUCUAAAAAGCAUUUAGAAAAAAAAAAAAGAAAAGAAAACUGUUAUCACUGCACUCCCAAAAACGGUCUCAUCUACCUGUAAGAGAGAGUGACCAAAAAAAAUAAAAUCAUCUGAUACACAGUGAGUUUCAACAGUGGAUGGACACGCAUUUUGUAUAUAAGAUAAAGACUGUUACCUAAACACUAGGCACCAAUGCCCCGUGUCCCGGUGCCUUCAAUAGUCUGACCGUUCAAACUUUUUAAACCCAGCAACGGCGCACAAAAUCAACCCGUCACAUUUUUCAAAUUUAAAAAUAUAACACAUAAUAUAUUUUAGAAUAAUUACUAUCAUAACAACAACAUUUUGACCCAUUUAAUUAAGUAUAAAAUAAAUAUCAUAAUCAGUAUUUAAUCAAAUAAUUAAUAUUUUAUCAAAAAUUUAGAAUACAUACUUUGAAGCAUUAGGUUACUUAUCUCUUAUCAUUUCAAAAUUCCACUCUAGUUAGACGGGCCAGGUUCUCCUGCUUUAAUGUCAUUAAAAUAUAAUUAACUUUAUGCUACAUAGAAAUCAGGCAAAAUUAAACUAAUAUUACGGAUAUGGCUUUAUGCUCAAAUCAGAAUAGAUCAAAGGCAAUGUCAAUCAGGCGGCAGUACCCGAAUACAUGGGCCAAUCUGAACAAGGUGAAUUGAAUUGAUCAAAAUCAGACAUGAUUUAAGAGACUCAAUAAAGGUCAAUGAUGAUCUAAUUCCAAAGAAAUCUGACAAUGCCGAGGUAACGAGCCGAUCUACAACCUGAGUACCGAGAUAGUUCAGGGUCUCUAAACUGGAUCAACUUGGACUCCGACAACAAAAAAAAAGCAAUGCUUACACUAGGAUCCUUAAGUCUGUCUAUAGAGAGAGAGGGAAAGAAGAGACAAUCUUAGCUUUUCUACCAAAAAAAAGGAGAGAGAAUUUUAGCUUGGGUUCAGCCAGGGGUCUGGGUUUGGUCCAGUAAUGACACAGGCCAUCCGGAUCAUCAAUGUAUCUGGUCCACGAGUCAAGUAGAGAGAGAAAGAGAGGAUUUCUCCAUUUUUUAAAUUAAUUACAAAUAGGAAAAAAUGGAAGAAAAUAGAAGAAAUAAGAAGNNNNNNNNNNNNNNNNNNNNCUCCAUUUUUUAAAUUAAUUACAAAUAGGAAAAAAUGGGAAGAAAAUAGAAGAAAUAAGAAGAAGAAGAAUAGAGAGGAGGAAGAGAGGGAAGAGGAGAGAGGGAGGGUUUGGCGGUGGGUGCCGGGAUCCGGCGACUAGUACGGUGGAGCUGGCGAUGGAGGUGGCGGCCGGCGGAGAUGGCAAAACCGAGAAGAAAGUCUCGGUUUGGCCCAAAAAUAGAAAAAUGAGGCUCGAUUUCAGGUUGGAACAGAGAAAUAUAGGGAAGAGAAUCUUAACACUGCCAGGUGAGUGGUGAGCUAAUGCAUCCAUUCCACUUGAGUGUGAUCGGUCCGCCCGCCCUUCACAGAAUGAUGAGUAAAGACUGUUGUGUUUGUUUAGUUUCUUAAGCGCUCCGCGGGUCGAUAGGAGUUAUAUCCUUCCAUCACCGUUGGCUGCAUAUUUUUGUCAAAAUUUUUUUUAAAAAAUAUAGCAUCUUUUAAAAAUGAGUUUACUUGGGGAUUAACUGCGGAUAAGCUGAGUACUCGAAGUUCAUUUUAAAAUCGCAAAUGUCAUGAAUUAUCUUGACUCUCCAUUAUCUAUACGAAUAUAUUACAUAUUUUAUUUUCAAGAUUUAGUUAUUUUAACAAUUAUUAUUAUCUAUGUAUGAAUUACAUAUCAUCAGAUUUAUAUUAAAUUUAUUUGCAGGUUGAGAGUUCUUGAUAUUUGUAGAACUAAUCCUCCCGUGUGUACGGCGAUUAAUUGCAAAGUCCUCGAGCUCUGUUUUUGGAUUGGAAGCAGGACAAGACCAACCAAAUUUUAUAUAGAGCACAUCCAGCUCAGUUUACUCAAAUAGAACCCAUUCACCGAAGAACACCAAGGUAAUUUGUGGCAAACAAAAAAAAAAGAAAGAAGAACACCAAGGUAAUCAUCGACCCCAAAUAGUACAGUGGAAUCAGGUCAAAGACGUAGUUUUAGUCAACAGUAACAAUAGCUUCGCCCAUCCGUUUACAUAUAUAAUUUAUUUUGUUUGUCUCGAUUUACAUUUUAACAGACCAUCAGCAGCAGCGACGGUGGCAGAGCAUUGGUAGCAGCAGAACCAGCAACGUCGACAACCAUACAGAGGAGAACCGAUUUGUUAAGCAGCCAUGAUAGGCUGUCACAAAGGCGUGAGCAUGAGCGAAAAUUGAUGCUGGGUUUUGCGGAGGAUCCAAUUGAAACAACGGAGCAGCAACAUGCAUGGACUUGGAUCGAGAGGCAGCAAAGGAACUGUGCACACCGAGUACACAAUCCAAGGAUGCCGGACGGCAGCAACGAUGCAAACCAGCGACCCAAAAGUGGACGCCACGAAGAUAACAGUGAUGUCUUCAAAGAGCGAGGCGAUGGAGGGAAGUUUAGGACGAUACGUGAUGGAUGCCAGGGAAGAGGAGAAGAGGCCGAGCAAAGAGAAGGCGAACAUGUCCAUCGAGGUGAAGUUGGCGACGCUGGGCUUCGUCAAAGCUUGCCCAUCUCCCAUGGCGACGUGGGGCGAGAAGAGUGUCGCCACCACGCCUAGAGCGAACAUGGGCAUGCCUUGGACCAAAGUGCGCAGAGCUGAGUGGNNNNNNNNNNNNNNNNNNNNCCUUGGACCAAAGUGCGCAGAGCUGAGUGGUUGCUGGCCUCCCUACCAUCUCCAUUUCUAUGUGGGCUGGUGCAGGAGAGUCGGGAUUCCGCGCCCCGGCAGCUUCCCAUCUCAGACAUGACGAGAAGUGUUCGCCGUUGCACGGAGGCCGUCGUAAGUUAUAGAUAGGGAAGGGCAGAGAAGCGCCGGUGGGGAGGGGAUUUUGUAGGGUCUGUACCCAGCUUCAAAAAACAAAGCAUUCGCAAAGAUGUAAUCCUUUCGCACUCCUGCAUUCCCCACUACUUUCCUCCUAAAGGCCGCGCGACUGCACUCCCACUCUUUCCUUAAAGGCGGCACGAUGUGUUGGACAACAGCCCUUCCAUGUCAUGGACAACAGCCCCUCCAUGUCAUGACAAGAGCCCUUCCAUGUUAUGGACAGGAGCCCCUCUAUGUUAUGGACAGGAGCCAAAGAUUCCAAAGGUUAAAACUUUGGAUUCUUUUUCUUUUUUGCUGGAAUAGAAGAAUCAUACAACGUGUACAGAUACAAUCAAAAAAAAUAAAAAGCAAUACAUUCGGGAGCCCAUUAGGCAGCUCCGUCUCGCUCACCUAUAGAUGGUCCACUUAAUGGUUGGCGACAAAGGACGCCAUCCAAUCCACCGCCCAUUAACCUUCCAAACUUUUGUAAUCUUUGGUCAAACAAAUUUUAACGAUGAUAAUAUGUUUUUUCGCGUGACAGAUUCCAAAGGUGCCGGCCUGCCGCCUUACAGAAGAAGGAAUGUAGUGGGGUCCAACAGAUCGAAUCCGCGUUUCGGAAAGCAACAACGGGGGACCGCUUUUUUUAUAUGCCUAUCCAGAAAGUCUUGAUUUUAUUUUAGAAGGAUCCCUCCCUUUAUAUACCCCGCUCGUUCCUACGCUCAAUGAAACUCCUUUGCCCUCCGUAAAUUGCGACUGUCUCCGUGCACUUCUCUGCCCUUCCCUAUCUAUAACUUACGACGGCCUCCGUGCAACGGCGAAAACUUCACCUCAUGUCUGAGAUGAGAAGCUGUUGAGGCGCGGAAUCGCGACUCUCCAGCACGAGACCACAUAGAGAUGGAUAUGGUAGAGAGGCAAGCAACCACUCAGCUCUGCGCACUUUGGUCCAAGGCAUGCCCAUGUUCGCUAUAGGCGUGGUGGUGACACUCUUCUCGUCCUACGUCGCCAUGGGAGAUGGGCAAGCUUUGACGAAGCCCAGCGUCGCCAACUUCACCUCGAUGGACAUGUUUGCCUUCUCUUUUCUCGGCUUCUUCUCCUCUUCCCUGGCAUCCAUCACGUACCGUCCUAAAUUCCCCCCCAUCGCCCCGUUGAAGACAUCACUGUUAUCUUCUUGGCGUCCACUUUUGGGUCGCUGGUUUGCAUUGUUGCUCCCUACCGGCAUCCUUGGAUUGUGUAAUCGAUGCGCAUGGUUCCUCUGCUGCCUCUCGAUGGAAGUCCGUGCAUGUUGCUCCGUUGUUUCAAUUGAACCCACACUUUGCAAAAACGAGCAUCAAUUUGGCUGGAGUCAUCAAGAGAAUAUAUAUAUNNNNNNNNNNNNNNNNNNNNNNNNNNNNNNNNNNNNNNNNNNNNNNNNNNNNNNNNNNNNNNNNNNNNNNNNNNNNNNNNNNNNNNNNNNNNNNNNNNNNNNNNNNNNNNNNNNNNNNNNNNNNNNNNNNNNNNNNNNNNNNNNNNNNNNNNNNNNNNNNNNNNNNNNNNNNNNNNNNNNNNNNNNNNNNNNNNNNNNNNNNNNNNNNNNNNNNNNNNNNNNNNNNNNNNNNNNNNNNNNNNNNNNNNNNNNNNNNNNNNNNNNNNNNNNNNAGUGCUUGCCUCAAGUCUUGAGUUGACAGAAGCAUCUAAUCCGCCUCAUUCAUCCGCCUGCACGCCUCUCCAAAAGCAUCUAAUCCACCUAUGAAUCUUAUUGGGAUUCUGAUUAUUUUGAUUCAUUUUAAAGACCAGCGCUAGAAGUAAUACGAUGUCUGAGGGGUAUGGAAACUGGUAUUCUAAGAUGGGGGAAAUAUGAGUUGGUGGUCAUCAAAGGCAGCGUAGCAACAUCCUGUCCUGCUUGCAAAGGGUCCCACUUAAACCACCACCGCAGUUGAAAGCAACACGUCGUUCCGGCAAUUGGUAUUUGCCAAUAAGCACGCAAAUUUUUACAAAUGCAUGGAGGAAUUUGAAAUAUUUCAAUUACACUUCAACAAAAUACAUCUGUAGCUUUAAACUAGCAAGCUGACAUUUGUAAACCUGAUUAUUUACGGUUUCUGUGUCUUGCUUUGGGAACUCAGAUGUCUUCCUAACGACACAAGUCCCAUUGAAGCAAAAGUAGAUAAGACUGCAGAUGAGUAACCGAGUACAAGAUGAGCUCCUCUUAGUGACUGCAUUCAAAACAUGCACCAAAGUAAUUAAACAGCAAUUAUAAUUCUUCUGUGGGGAAAACAAAAAGUCUAUUGCUAGGAGCAGUGCAUUAUCAUUUGCAUACUGCAAUGAACUUUCUGGAAUGCUUUGGAUGCCCUGACUUAGUUCCCAAGAGAGUAAUAUAAUCUCAAAGUCCACAGAUCAUAAUUAACACAUUCUUCAGAUAAAUUGAUGAUGAUCAACUCAAAUUUCACAUUGUAAAACAAUCAAGAAUCUCACUCAUAUAUAGCUGCCUGAUCAAGAUCGGAUGCCUGUCCAUGGCGAACCACCACCACCCAGGAAAUGGCCUUGAACACUUUCUUUUGUCACCCAUAGGUGAUGUUCGUGGUUCUCGAUCCCACAGUUACCAAACCAAGAAAUACACUAUACUAGUUGAAAUGCUGAAGAGCUGGACUUACCCAAAAACAAAACCAAUAGCAGCACCAAUGCAAGUUUUCCCCUGGAGUCAACUCAACUUGUGCUCCUCCAAACUGCAAAAUAAUGAUGGAACAUCGAUCUCAGUUUUAAUAUUAAAACAUAUAAUAUAGUUGAAGUAUGCAAUAGAAUCUGUUACCUUCAGCAUCCUGCUUUCCUUCUUAGGCCUCUCAUCAGUUUUUAUAACAGGACCUCUAGAAAGCAGCUUCCCAGUUUUGAUCAUAGCUUUGGCAAUCUGCAAGAAUUGAUACGUAAUACACAUGAUGGCACCGAGGAUUAAGGUUAAUCAAUAUAAUUUCUACUAGGUAAUUAAGCUGAACAUACAGGUCAUGACUCAGAUGCAUGAUAGUCAGAGAAACUAUAACCUAUGUCAUCACUAUAAAGUAUGGAACCGUUAGCUGUAGCACAGUUCAAACUGCCACAAAUAGUUUGCAUAAAUGAUGAUUAAACGGUUUUGUUCAAACGACUCUCUCUUCUUUGAAUUCACCAUGUAUAGAUAGUGACUCAAGUGGGGCUUUUGAGUGUACUUUUAGGCAUUUCCGUGGUCUGCUCUCUGAACCUUUUUGCUAGGUAUCUGAGCUGGAAGAUAACCACCCAACUCCUCAACUCUCACCUGGCGAUUUCACCCAAAAUCAACUUGCCAAGUUAACCCUAUGGUUGGCGCUUAUAGCCAUCAACUACUGAAACCGCCACACCCAUGAUUCUCCUCUCCUAGUCUUCUCCACAAACCUAUCAGCCACCAAGUUAUUUCUGAGCCUUCUGCACAGGGGAAAGCCAAAAACUUUAAAACAGGAAAAGUUUCAAGCAUAUAGUCAUUAGGAUUAAAAGGUAUCUGCACUAAUAGAUACAUAAAUAAAAGGUUUACAUUUGUUUGUCUUCUUAUGCUGCUAAGC
rnacentral:lncRNA from 1 species